rnacentral:rRNA from 1 species
UACGGGGGGGGCAAGCGUUGCUCGGAAUUACUGGGCGUAAAGGGCUCGUAGGCGGCCAAUUAAGUCAGACGUGAAAUCCCCAGGCUCAACUUGGGAACUGCGUCUGAUACUGGUUGGCUUGAAUUCGGGAGAGGGAUGCAGAAUUCCAGGUGUAGCGGUGAAAUGCGUAGAUAUCUGGAGGAAUACCGGUGGCGAAGGCGGCAUCCUGGACCGAGAUUGACACUGAUGAGCGAAAGCCAGGGGAGCAAACGGG